rnacentral:rRNA from 1 species
UUGAACGCUGGCGGCAGGCCUAACACAUGCAAGUCGAACGGUAACAGGAAACAGCUUGCUGUUUCGCUGACGAGUGGCGGACGGGUGAGUAAUGUCUGGGAAACUGCCUGAUGGAGGGGGAUAACUACUGGAAACGGUAGCUAAUACCGCAUAACGUCGCAAGACCAAAGAGGGGGACCCUCGGGCCUCUUGCCAUCGGAUGUGCCCAGAUGGGAUUAGCUUGUUGGUGGGGUAACGGCUCACCAAGGCGACGAUCCCUAGCUGGUCUGAGAGGAUGACCAGCCACACUGGAACUGAGACACGGUCCAGACUCCUACGGGAGGCAGCAGUGGGGAAUAUUGCACAAUGGGCGCAAGCCUGAUGCAGCCAUGCCGCGUGUAUGAAGAAGGCCUUCGGGUUGUAAAGUACUUUCAGCGGGGAGGAAGGGAGUAAAGUUAAUACCUUUGCUCAUUGACGUUACCCGCAGAAGAAGCACCGGCUAACUCCGUGCCAGCAGCCGCGGUAAUACGGAGGGUGCAAGCGUUAAUCGGAAUUACUGGGCGUAAAGCGCACGCAGGCGGUUUGUUAAGUCAGAUGUGAAAUCCCCGGGCUCAACCUGGGAACUGCAUCUGAUACUGGCAAGCUUGAGUCUCGUAGAGGGGGGUAGAAUUCCAGGUGUAGCGGUGAAAUGCGUAGAGAUCUGGAGGAAUACCGGUGGCGAAGGCGGCCCCCUGGACGAAGACUGACGCUCAGGUGCGAAAGCGUGGGGAGCAAACAGGAUUAGAUACCCUGGUAGUCCACGCCGUAACGAUGUCGACUUGGAGGUUGUGCCCUUGAGGCGUGGCUUCCGGAGCUAACGCGUUAAGUCGACCGCCUGGGGAGUACGGCCGCAAGGUUGAAACUCAAAUGAAUUGACGGGGGCCCGCACAAGCGGUGGAGCAUGUGGUUUAAUUCGAUGCAACGCGAAGAACCUUACCUGGUCUUGACAUCCACGGAAGUUUUCAGAGAUGAGAAUGUGCCUUCGGGAACCGUGAGACAGGUGCUGCAUGGCUGUCGUCAGCUCGUGUUGUGAAAUGUUGGGUUAAGUCCCGCAACGAGCGCAACCCUUAUCCUUUGUUGCCAGCGGUCCGGCCGGGAACUCAAAGGAGACUGCCAGUGAUAAACUGGAGGAAGGUGGGGAUGACGUCAAGUCAUCAUGGCCCUUACGACCAGGGCUACACACGUGCUACAAUGGCGCAUACAAAGAGAAGCGACCUCGCGAGAGCAAGCGGACCUCAUAAAGUGCGUCGUAGUCCGGAUUGGAGUCUGCAACUCGACUCCAUGAAGUCGGAAUCGCUAGUAAUCGUGGAUCAGAAUGCCACGGUGAAUACGUUCCCGGGCCUUGUACACACCGCCCGUCACACCAUGGGAGUGGGUUGCAAAAGAAGUAGGUAGCUUAACCUUCGGGAGGGCGCUUACCACUUUGUGAUUCAUGACUGGGGUG